rnacentral:rRNA from 1 species
GGAUGUGGGAUUGCACAGACAACCAGGAUGUUGGCUUAGAAGCAGCCACUCAUUCAAAGAGUGCGUAAUAGCUCACUGGUCGAGUGAUCCUGCGCCGAAGAUUUCCGGGGCUAAAACUUACUACCGAAGCUACGGCAUCAGUAAUGAUGGGUAGGGGAGCUUCCCAUACGGGUUGAAGCAUGACCGUAAGGACAUGUGGACAGUAUGGGAGUGAGAAUGUUGGCAUGAGUAGCGAGAUGUGGGUGAGAAUCCCACAGGCCGUAAACCCAAGGUUUCCAGGGGAAGGUUCGUCCGCCCUGGGUUAGUCGGGACCUAAGCUGAGGCCGAAAGGCGUAGGUGAUGGACAACAGGUUGAUAUUCCUGUACUACCGAUAACCGUUUGAGAGAAGGGAUGACACAGUAGGAUAAGCUAAGCACACUGUUGGUUAUGUGUGCCCAAGCAUUGAGGCAGUCAAAGUAGGCAAAUCCGCUUUGAUAAUGCUGGGAUGUGAUGGGGAGCGAAAUUUAGUAGCGAA